AUGAACCUUUUUAAUGCGUUUAAAAAUGAUGAAGUGUCCAUCCCUUCUAUGACUUCUAUAUGGACAGCUCGUAUUACUAAACAAGUAAACAAAACUGCCCACCUCUUGUUAUUUACAACACCACCCCUGGUUUUCCUAGUGACAACCUCCCAAGGACCAAACACAUCGAUUCCCACAUGGGAAAAGGGUGGGUCUGAAAAUGAUGAAGUGUCCAUCCCUUCUAUGACUUCUAUAUGGACAGCUCGUAUUACUAAACAAGUAAACAAAACUGCCCACCUCUUGUUAUUUACAACACCACCCCUGGUUUUCCUAGUGACAACCUCCCAAGGACCAAACACAUCGAUUCCCACAUGGGAAAAGGGUGGGUCUGUCAAAGUCCUAUCCUGAGGUAGUUCUGCCAUCAACUGACUUUGACAGUUUCGUCUGAGUCGCCGACAUUUGACACAUUUGAAAAUACAACUGUUGACCAAACUUUUAGCAUUUACCACCCACAGACCUUCAUUUCUAAGGGCUGCCUCAGUUAGAGUUCUACCCUGAUGAUGGAUUUUCUCAUGGUAGUGACGAACCAACAACAAAGCAAUAUGGCUAUUGGGGGGUACAAUGAUGGGGUUCUUUGUACACACUUUGAGUUUAGCCUUAGCUAACCUCCCUCCCACUCUUAAAAUGCCCUCCUUGUCUAGAAAUGGGUUUAACUCACGCAAGAAACUCCGGCUGGGGGUGUCAAGCCCUUGUUCUAACCUGGCUAUUUCUAGACUAAACUCAUGCCUCUGAACUGACCUGAAUAUUACUCCCUUAGCCUUCAACAUGUCCUGAACUUGCAAAGGCUGACUAUCUUUGCAGACUAAGCGAUGUAUAAGCCUAGCAACUGCUCUAAGAAGACUGUGCCAUUCCGAAAAACGUUCAAAAUGGUGUCGUUCCAGACAAGAUCUUUGGCCCAUCUUGAUUUCUGUGGUUGAUUUGCAGGCUUUCACCUCUGCACUUCGUGAGACUUGAGCAUUCAUAAUGUCCGAAAACCUUUGCUCAUCUUUCGAGAGCGCUGUGGCUUCGUCUCUCUCAGAGACUUUGAAGAUGGAGGAAUACUCUGGAGUUAUUGCUUGGCAGUGGACCGAGAUAUGACUUAGGCAACUGCGCACAAGUGUAGGACGUCCACCUUUAAGCACCUGUGCUUGAUUGGAGUCCAACGACGAUAGUGGGUGCAUCUUGUUUAUGCACACUGGGCCUAUGACUGUCCAGCCUAAUGGCAAUUGUUGUGCGAUAGGUGCACCUGGAGGUCCUUUAACUUGGUCGUUCACACAGAACAAGCUCGGGCAGUCCGAGCCAAGCAAAAGGGCAAUGUCCACAUCUGGCCGAAAGGCUGGUAUAACAUUCUUUAGCCUUCGCAAGUGUGGAUGAGCCUCCACAACUUCUCUGGUGACAAUCUGCCUUUUGUUCCGGGGAAUAGAGGAACACUCAAUCAGGUCUGGCAACUUGAACUGUCUCUUCUGGUCGCAAGAGGAGACAACGAAGCCAAAUGCUAUGCGACCCUGCAACUUCUUUUUUCCUGCACACGUAGUCAUAGUGUAGUCGACCAUCUUGGUUUUAAGGUCAAACAUGCGGAAGAACUCUGGAGUAGCCAGGGAGGCGUCGCUCUGUGAAUCCAGGGCCACAUAGAGUCUCUUUCUAAGCCAAGGGCUCUUGGCUGGAUAUACAUCCGCUAGGCAGAUAGGAUGACAAACUCUGUACUGGUGCGAGUCAGAACACAGCUCUGUACAGGCGACUGCUGAAACUUCCACCUGCAUCUCUGGUGCGGCUGGCUUGUCGGUGUCUUCGACUGCUGACUUUUCUUUUGGUGAAGCGUUCUCUUUGGGGUGGGAGAUGAUAUUGGAGUUGUGCAUUGCGGUGCAAUGCUUGAGGCUGUUGCAUUUCUCACACUUGAUGUUUUCUUUGCAGUUGGAUGCAAAGUGUGGAGUUGCUCCACAGCAUCUAAAGAAGAUUCCCUGCUUUUGAACUAGCUGUUGCCUUUCUUUGUAUGUCUUUCUACUAAACUCCCUGCAGUUGGCCAAGCUGUGAGGCUUUUGGUGAAUAGGGCAAAGCAACUCUUUUACCUCCGACCUGGGUUCGUCAGUCUUGAGUUGAGUUUCGACUGCCUUUACGCUGACAGGUCUAUUGGCCUCUCUAGGUGGUUUCUUGUCCACUUCAGGUGCCUUCUCUGGCUGGGUCCCUUGGUAUAAGGUGGGGAGGCCCGUCUGCGGAUCAUUCCUUUCUCUGGCCGCCCUUGUGAUGAACUGGACCAAAUGAGAAAAUGGAGGGUAUGCCUGGGAGUGGGCCUCCUUGUAGUUGAAGACCUCCUGUCCCCAGCGUUCUUGCAAAGUGAAGGGCAGCUUGGUCAAGAUCUGCCUCUGGGACAGGUGCUGAUCGAGGCACUUCAAACCGGGCAGUUCUGGAUUCUCCUUGGCCGACUCUAAUUCCGUAAGGAGAUCGCUAAGGUCCCACAAGAGUUUGAAGUCUUUGAGUUUUAAAGCUGGGAACCUUUGGAGCUUGUCCAUAAGAGAUGCUUCAAUCUCUGUGCUGGCCCCAUACCUCUGCUGCAACCUGGCCCAGGCCUUUUCCAGGGCUUUGUCGGGAUCGGCUACGUGGGCUGCGUAGAUCUUCUUAACUUGUGAGGAUGAGGCUGGGCCCAACCAUGCAGCCAGAAGAGUCAGUUCUUCCUCAGGCAAUAACUUUAAGUCUCUGAUUGCUCUCUGGAAGGUGGCCUUCCAGAGAAGAAAUUCCUCAGGCUUGUCCGAAAACUUUUCGACACCCUUGUCCUUAAGAUCUCUUCUGGGGCUUCUGAUGAUGGAGACAAGCUGGGACUCUGGCGUCGAAGGGAACAAUUGAGGAGUUUGCUGUUGUGGAGUGGACUCCCACCGUGUACCUUGCGUCAACCUUUGGCCUCUUGGAGGGAUGACAUCGACCACUGACGAAUCGAUGGUUCCCUGUGCAGCUGUCUGUAGGGGCCAACUAGCACUCGGCCUUGAGGCCCUGAUUGACUGACCUAGGGUUUUAGCAGGAGGCACAGGUAGCUCGAGCAAGGGUGAGCUCCCCGCUAUGACGCUCUGCUCUGCAGGAAACUCAAAAGUGACUUUGGGGCCCUGCUCUGGGUAAGGAGAGAAGUCUCCCUGUUCCU
rnacentral:lncRNA from 1 species